CAGACAGACAGUACACUGGAGAUUAAGUCAUGCACUAAAUAGGGAGCAAGGGAGCAUCCUAUAGCUCUCUAUAACUGUUCUGAGACCAGUGCAGACAGACAACACACUGGAGGUUAAGUCAUGCACUAAAUAGGGAGCAAGGGAGCAUCCUAUAUCUCUCCUAUAACUGUUCUGAGACCAUUGCAGACAGACAGCACACUGGAGGUUAAGUCAUGCACUAAAUAGGGAGCAAGGGAGCAUCCUAUAGCUCUCCUAUAACUGUUCUGAGACCAGUGCAGACAGACAGCACACUGGAGGUUAAGUCAUGCACUAAAUAGGGAGCAAGGGAGCAUCCUAUAUCUCUCCUAUAACUGUUCUGAGACCAGUGCAGACAGACAGCACACUGGAGGUUAAGUCAUGCACUAAAUAGGGAGCAAGGGAGCAUCCUAUAGCUCUCCUAUAACUGUUCUGAGACCAGUGCAGACAGACAGCACACUGGAGGUUAAGUCAUGCACUAAAUAGGGAGCAAGGGAGCAUCCUAUAGCUCUCCUAUAACUGUUCUGAGACCAGUGCAGACAGACAGCACACUGGAGGUUAAGUCAUGCACUAAAUAGGGAGCAAGGGAGCAUCCUAUAGCUCUCUAUAACUGUUCUGAGACCAGUGCAGACAGACAGCACACUGGAGGUUAAGUCAUGCACUAAAUAGGGAGCAUCCUAUAGCUCUCCUAUAACUGUUCUGAGACCAGUGCAGACAGACAGCACACUGGAGGUUAAGUCAUGCACUAAAUAGGGAGCAAGGGAGCAUCCUAUAGCUCUCUAUAACUGUUCUGAGACCAGUGCAGACAGACAGCACACUGGAGGUUAAGUCAUGCACUAAAUAGGGAGCAAGGGAGCAUCCUAUAGCUCUCCUAUAACUGUUCUGAGACCAGUGCAGACAGACAGCACACUGGAGGUUAAGUCAUGCACUAAAUAGGGAGCAAGGGAGCAUCCUAUAGCUCUCCUAUAACUGUUCUGAGACCAGUGCAGACAGACAGCACACUGGAGGUUAAGUCAUGCACUAAAUAGGGAGCAAGGAAGCAUCCUAUAGCUGUAGGUAGAUUUUAG